rnacentral:tRNA from 1 species
GGUCGUGGCUCAGAGGUAGAGCACGCACCUAGCAUGCGCGAGGCACUGGGUUCGAUUCUCAGCACCA